GGGUGAUGAUGUAUAAACUCACGAUGGUCUGCAGAGCCUUCUCUGGUGAACGAGGGGCUGCUGAAAAUGCCUGUCUGGCAGUCGCUGAACCACGCAG